rnacentral:rRNA from 1 species
AUUGAACGCUGGCGGCAUGCCUUACACAUGCAAGUCGAACGGUAACAGGUCUUCGGAUGCUGACGAGUGGCGAACGGGUGAGUAAUACAUCGGAACGUGCCCGAGAGUGGGGGAUAACGAGGCGAAAGCUUUGCUAAUACCGCAUACGAUCUCAGGAUGAAAGCAGGGGACCGCAAGGCCUUGCGCUCACGGAGCGGCCGAUGGCAGAUUAGGUAGUUGGUGGGAUAAAAGCUUACCAAGCCGACGAUCUGUAGCUGGUCUGAGAGGACGACCAGCCACACUGGGACUGAGACACGGCCCAGACGCCUACGGGAGGCAGCAGUGGGAAAUUUUGGACAAUGGGCGCAAGCCUGAUCCAGCCAUGCCGCGUGCAGGAUGAAGGCCUUCGGGUUGUAAACUGCUUUUGUACGGAACGAAAAGACUCUGGUUAAUACCUGGGGUCCAUGACGGUACCGUAAGAAUAAGCACCGGCUAACUACGGGCCAGCCGCCGCGGUAACAC